rnacentral:rRNA from 1 species
AACGACUCUCGGCAACGGAUAUCUCGGCUCUCGCAUCGAUGAAGAAAGUAGCGAAAUGGGAUACUUGGUGUGAAUUGCAGAAUCCCGUGAACCAUCGAGUCUUUGAACGCAAGUUGCGCCGCAAGCCUUCUGGCCGAGGGCACCUCUGCGUGGGUGUCACAAAU